rnacentral:rRNA from 1 species
GGACUACCGGGGUUUCUAAUCCUGUUUGCUCCCCACGCUUUCGCGUCUCAGCGUCAGUUACAGGCCAGCGAGCUGCCUUCGCCAUGGGUGUUCCGAUCGAUAUCUACGCAUUUCACCGCUACACCGACCAUUCCACUCGCCUCUCCCGCACUCAAGGUCUCCAGUAUGAAAGGCAGUGUCCGGGUUAAGCCCGAACCUUUCACCCCUCACUUAAAGACCCGCCUACACGCGCUUUACGCCCAGUAACUUCGGACAACGCUCGCCCCCUACGUAUUACCGCGGCUGCUGGCAC